AAAACAGUCUUGUUUUGAAAUAAGUAUAAAAUAUUAAAAUAAUAAAGAUAAAUGUAUCUCAAUGUAUCUUUAGGUAUUACAUUUUAAUAAUAAUAGUUUUUCAAAUAAAUUAUUAGAUAAACGUUGCCUCUGUGGCACUAAAAUUCCUCCAGCAGCACUAAACAGUCUUUCGACCGAAGCACUAGAAGGUACUUACCAUUAUAAUGACGGUGGAAUUGAAUAUUAUUACAAAUAAAUGAAUUAUGCAAAAUAAAAACUCGGAAAUCAGGAAAUCUGAUCACGGAGAAAUCCAAACGACAAUUAAUGAUAGUAUAAAAUACUAAUCGACCAAAAUAGCUAUUUAUAACAAUAGAGGAAGAUCUAUAUAUAUAUAUAUAUAUAUAUAACAAUUGAAAUUUUCGCUACGAUGACGCGCGUCAAAAUUAGAAAAACCAACAAAAUAUCUGCUGCUCGUCGCACGUAUAUAACCACAACAUAAACUUAACAAUUACCAUACAGUUAAAAUAAAA